CUUUCUGAUUAAUUGCUUGUAUCUUUCCCAAGCCUCAUAGAGGGACACUCCUUCCUUCUGUCUUAAGGUCUGGACAUCCACCCUAAGUUUAGUCAGCUUCUGAGGUAGAAAAAAUUUGGUCAGAAAUCUUUUUACCACCUUGUCCCACAUGUCCAAGCUUUCCUUAGGUUGAGAAUCAACCUACUGCUUCACUAUUUUCCUCACAGCAAAUGGGAAGAGCAUGAGCUUGUA